rnacentral:rRNA from 1 species
CUUUUAGUAGGGAAGAAGCGAAAGUGACGGUACCUGCAGAAAAAGCACCGGCUAACUACGUGCCAGCAGCCGCGGUAAUACGUAGGGUGCAAGCGUUAUCCGGAAUUAUUGGGCGUAAAGAGUGCGUAGGCGGUUUGUCGCGUCUGCUGUGAAAACCCGAGGCUCAACCGCGGGCCUGCAGUGGGUACGGGCAGACUAGAGUGCGGUAGGGGAGAUUGGAAUUCCUGGUGUAGCGGUGGAAUGCGCAGAUAUCAGGAGGAACACCGAUGGCGAAGGCAGAUCUCUGGGCCGUAACUGACGCUGAGGAGCGAAAGCAUGGGGAGCGAACAGG